UCACAGAUGCCCGAGGAACCACAAGUGCGC
rnacentral:piRNA from 1 species